UGCUAAGCACUUUGCGAGCUUUGCCUGAUUACUUAUGGUUCUUCUCUUCAUCAACAGAAGAGGAAAUCAAGCUCAGAGAGGUUGGAUAACUUGCCCAGGGUCACACAGCUAGCGAGCGGCUGAGCUGGAUGCUAACCUGAUGCUAAAAGUCUGCUCAGCUCCCAGGCCUCACGUGUUCCUCAGGGCGGAGAGUUCAGGAGAUGGAUUCUGAAGCUGGACGGCUGGAGCGGUUUGAAUCCUGCCCUCGCCCUGCCACCUGCUACCUCUGCGGUUUUUGUCAAGACACUUGACCUCUCUGAGCCCGAGUCUGCUCCUCGGUGACAUGGGCACAACUUCCUGGGGCCCUGAGGACUGAAGGUUGUCAUCAGGGGAGGGGUGUGACGGGUUUGGAACAGCCACUGUGACAGGUGCAGAGGGCACAGAGACACCGUCCCCGCCCGGGGGACUUCUGUCGAGAGGGAAAGAUCAUCCGCACAGAGAAGCCAAGCCCCCGCGGGGGGACGAGCUGGACCCGCAGGGACCCGGGCAGGGACUCGGGCCCAGCCUGCCCCUGGCUUCCAGGAGCGCGCCUCGGCAGGGGAGCAGUUUGGUUUCACUUGGUUUUUUAUGAUCUUUUGGGGGAAAUCAUCUGAAGUCGCGGAGGGGUUCCCAGAAGCCCCUCCCCCUUCCUCUAACAGCCUCCGCGGAACUCGGUCCUCCCUGGGCUCCACCAGCCCCCCCCAGCACCCUCCGGGGCCGGCUGUCUGUGGCCAUCUUGGUUCUGAAGGAGGAACAGGAGGUCACCGGGACGGGGCAGCGGGCCAGGAAGGAGGCUUGUCAUUUGGGCCGAGGCCAGGAAGAGUCCCCGGAACCAGGACAGAGAUCUGAAGGUCAGGAGUCCAGCAUCAGAGGCCGGUCCUUUCGGAGGCUCUGGGGGCAGAUCCGCACCCCUGGCUGUGCGACCCCGGAAGCCGCCUGCGUUCCUCAGCUCUGGCCCCUCCUCUGUUCUCAGCCAGCUCUGAAGGCCUCCUCAUAAAGACCCCCGGGUAGGAGCCCGCCUGGACCAUCUCAGGAUCCGUACCUCGCCUUCCACUGCAAACCCCCUUUCCACGAUUGCGGAGGGAGGCAGAGCUACUGGCCCCGGGGAGCCUCGCCAGGCUGCGGUCCUCUGUCACAAGCACUCAGAUGCUGGCCCGGCACCGAGACGUCAAGGAUUCCUGGUGGCCCUGCUUGGACUGCAGAGUCGGCUCCUGUUGGAGGGAGGGAGAGAGAAGCCAGAGAGCAGCGUGGCUCUAAUGUGCAUCCGAUUAGGCUUCGCUGCACGCUCUGCCCGGCUUCCCUCCCGGCACGCUCUCCUGAAGACAGCUUGAUGACUUGAAGGGAGCCGCGUGGAUUGUAUACCUGUCAACUCCCUCUCCACACCCGCCGGCCACGGGGCUCUAAUGAGGCCUGACACCUCAGGAAUCCAGCAGGAUGCGAAGC